UAGGCAUGGUGUGGACAUAUACAAAUUUGGUCUUUAAGCCUCUCCCAAGUCUCGUGGAAUAUUUUUCCAUUCAUCUGAGAAAAACUGGUAAUGGCUUUUCUAAUUUG